CCUGGUGGCUCAGAGGGUAAAGUGUCGGCCUGCAAUGCAGAAGACCUGGGUUCGAUUCCUGGGUCAGGA
rnacentral:tRNA from 1 species